UACGUAGGGUGCGAGCGUUAUCCGGAAUCAUUGGGCGUAAAGAGCUCGUAGGCGGUUCAACAAGUCGGCUGUGAAAGUCUGGGGCUCAACCCCAGAAUUGCAGUCGAUACUGUUGUGACUUGAGUCCGGUAGAGGAGAAUGGAAUUCCCGGUGUAGCGGUGGAAUGCGCAGAUAUCGGGAGGAACACCAGUAGCGAAGGCGGUUCUCUGGGCCGGCACUGACGCUGAGGAGCGAAAGCGUGGGGAGCAAACAGG
rnacentral:misc_RNA from 1 species